CUUAGAAGCAGCCAUCAUUUAAAGAAAGCGUAAUAGCUCACUGGUCGAGUCGGCCUGCGCGGAAGAUGUAACGGGGCUAAACCAUGCACCGAAGCUGCGGCAGCGACACUCAGGUGUUGUUGGGUAGGGGAGCGUUCUGUAAGCCUGCGAAGGUGGCCUGUGAGGGUUGCUGGAGGUAUCAGAAGUGCGAAUGCUGACAUAAGUAACGAUAAAGCGGGUGAAAAGCCCGCUCGCCGGAAGACCAAGGGUUCCUGUCCAACGUUAAUCGGGGCAGGGUGAGUCGACCCCUAAGGCGAGGCCGAAAGGCGUAGUCGAUGGGAAACGGGUUAAUAUUCCCGUACUUGGUGUUACUGCGAAGGGGGGACGGAGAAGGCUAUGUUGGCCGGGCGACGGUUGUCCCGGUUUAAGCGUGUAGGCUGGUUUUCCAGGCAAAUCCGGAAAAUCAAGGCUGAGGCGUGACGACGAGGCACUACGGUGCUGAAGCAACAAAUGCCCUGCUUCCAGGAAAAGCCUCUAAGCAUCAGGUAACACGAAAUCGUACCCCAAACCGACACAGGUGGUCAGGUAGAGAAUACCAAGGCGCUUGAGAGAACUCGGGUGAAGGAACUAGGCAAAAUGGUGCCGUAACUUCGGGAGAAGGCACGCUGACAUGUAGGUGAAGUGAUUUACUCAUGGAGCUGAAGUCAGUCGAAGAUACCAGCUGGCUGCAACUGUUUAUUAAAAACACAGCACUGUGCAAACACGAAAGUGGACGUAUACGGUGUGACGCCUGCCCGGUGCCGGAAGGUUAAUUGAUGGGGUCAGCGCAAGCGAAGCUCCUGAUCGAAGCCCCGGUAAACGGCGGCCGUAACUAUAACGGUCCUAAGGUAGCGAAAUUCCUUGUCGGGUAAGUUCCGACCUGCACGAAUGGCGUAAUGAUGGCCAGGCUGUCUCCACCCGAGACUCAGUGAAAUUGAACUCGCUGUGAAGAUGCAGUGUACCCGCGGCAAGACGGAAAGACCCCGUGAACCUUUACUAUAGCUUGACACUGAACAUUGAGCCUUGAUGUGUAGGAUAGGUGGGAGGCUUUGAAGUGUGGACGCCAGUCUGCAUGGAGCCGACCUUGAAAUACCACCCUUUAAUGUUUGAUGUUCUAACGUGGACCCGUGAUCCGGGUUGCGGACAGUGUCUGGUGGGUAGUUUGACUGGGGCGGUCUCCUCCUAAAGAGUAACGGAGGAGCACGAAGGUUGGCUAAUCCUGGUCGGACAUCAGGAGGUUAGUGCAAUGGCAUAAGCCAGCUUGACUGCGAGCGUGACGGCGCGAGCAGGUGCGAAAGCAGGUCAUAGUGAUCCGGUGGUUCUGAAUGGAAGGGCCAUCGCUCAACGGAUAAAAGGUACUCCGGGGAUAACAGGCUGAUACCGCCCAAGAGUUCAUAUCGACGGCGGUGUUUGGCACCUCGAUGUCGGCUCAUCACAUCCUGGGGCUGAAGUAGGUCCCAAGGGUAUGGCUGUUCGCCAUUUAAAGUGGUACGCGAGCUGGGUUUAGAACGUCGUGAGACAGUUCGGUCCCUAUCUGCCGUGGGCGCUGGAGAACUGAGGGGGGCUGCUCCUAGUACGAGAGGACCGGAGUGGACGCAUCACUGGUGUUCGGGUUGUCAUGCCAAUGGCACUGCCCGGUAGCUAAAUGCGGAAGAGAUAAGUGCUGAAAGCAUCUAAGCACGAAACUUGCCCCGA
rnacentral:rRNA from 1 species